rnacentral:rRNA from 1 species
UACGGGGGGAGCAAGCGUUGUUCGGAUUUACUGGGCGUAAAGGGCGCGUAGGCGGUCAGCACAAGUCAGUUGUGAAAUCUCCGGGCUUAACUCGGAAAGGUCAACUGAUACUGUGCGACUAGAGUGCAGAAGGGGCAACUGGAAUUCUCGGUGUAGCGGUGAAAUGCGUAGAUAUCGGGAGGAAUACCUAUGGCGAAAGCAGGCUUCUGGACCAUCACUGACGCUGAGCUGCGAAAGCUAGGGGAGCAAACAGG